GCCAGCAUGGUGCAAUGGUUUGGGUGUUGGACUAUCACUCUGGAGACCAGGGUUCGAAUCCUCACUUGGGCA